GCUAAGUUCAUUCAUAUUGUUUACUUCGAGAAGUAUUUUAUUACAAACGUUUAGUUAUUUACAAACGAUUCCCAUUUCAUUUGGAUCUCUGUCACUACUCAUAUUUGGACAUUGGGAGUGCUUGUCAUAUUGAGGCAGCUCACUGACAUGAGGGAACUUAUCACAGGACAGCUCCACGGUCACCUCAAAACAGUUGGUGUGCAGUGACCCAGCAGCGGUUGUAUGAGAGCUAGCAGCAUGCCGCUCCUUUAAUGACCUAUGAGAGCUGUGGACCCAGGCCAUACACGGGGAACCUGAGAACCUGCUGAGCAACUUCUGUUGAUCUAAGCCAGCUCACUGUAUCACUCAAAUGAACCACAAUAUCGCUCAUACAGCAGGUGAGCUGUAUCAGUUCACAGGAGUUCAUCAUAGACCUUCACAGCCUGAGAAAUUUAACCAUCCUGAUGAAAACCGCACUGUCACACUAAAACCAGAGAUUUGAACAACAGCAAAUAAAACACAGGACAUAUUCGCUGAGUAAAGUGCCUUCAGAUGUUUCUUUCAUGUUCUUGUACAGCUUCAUUAUUUUUUUUUUCCCCGGGAUCUGCUCAAUGUGUCCUCUCAUUACCACGGUGUACUACCUGAACGCUACAGGAAUACAGAAUUAUAAAUAUUCAUUCUUACCCUCACCUGAAAAACUAACAGCAUGCUAUACUUCACUGCUCAAUUAUUGAUUUCCAGCAGGCUUAUAAAAAUAUCGAAACUCUGGAUUGUUCAGAAGAAUUUGGGGAACAACUGGAAAAAUGUGAUGUUGUUUAAUUAAAAUAUAUUUAUUCAUUAUGCA